UUAAAUUGAAGAGUUUGAUCAUGGCUCAGAUUGAACGCUGGCGGCAGGCCUAACACAUGCAAGUCGAACGGUAACAGGAAGCAGCUUGCUGCUUUGCUGACGAGUGGCGGACGGGUGAGUAAUGUCUGGGAAACUGCCUGAUGGAGGGGGAUAACUACUGGAAACGGUGGCUAAUACCGCAUAACGUCGCAAGACCAAAGAGGGGGACCUUCGGGCCUCUUGCCAUCAGAUGUGCCCAGAUGGGAUUAGCUAGUUGGUGAGGUAACGGCUCACCAAGGCGACGAUCCCUAGCUGGUCUGAGAGGAUGACCAGCCACACUGGAACUGAGACACGGUCCAGACUCCUACGGGAGGCAGCAGUGGGGAAUAUUGCACAAUGGGCGCAAGCCUGAUGCAGCCAUGCCGCGUGUAUGAAGAAGGCCUUCGGGUUGUAAAGUACUUUCAGCGGGGAGGAAGGUGUUGUGGUUAAUAACCGCAGCAAUUGACGUUACCCGCAGAAGAAGCACCGGCUAACUCCGUGCCAGCAGCCGCGGUAAUACGGAGGGUGCAAGCGUUAAUCGGAAUUACUGGGCGUAAAGCGCACGCAGGCGGUCUGUCAAGUCGGAUGUGAAAUCCCCGGGCUCAACCUGGGAACUGCAUUCGAAACUGGCAGGCUUGAGUCUUGUAGAGGGGGGUAGAAUUCCAGGUGUAGCGGUGAAAUGCGUAGAGAUCUGGAGGAAUACCGGUGGCGAAGGCGGCCCCCUGGACAAAGACUGACGCUCAGGUGCGAAAGCGUGGGGAGCAAACAGGAUUAGAUACCCUGGUAGUCCACGCCGUAAACGAUGUCUACUUGGAGGUUGUGCCCUUGAGGCGUGGCUUCCGGAGCUAACGCGUUAAGUAGACCGCCUGGGGAGUACGGCCGCAAGGUUAAAACUCAAAUGAAUUGACGGGGGCCCGCACAAGCGGUGGAGCAUGUGGUUUAAUUCGAUGCAACGCGAAGAACCUUACCUGGUCUUGACAUCCACGGAAGUUUUCAGAGAUGAGAAUGUGCCUUCGGGAACCGUGAGACAGGUGCUGCAUGGCUGUCGUCAGCUCGUGUUGUGAAAUGUUGGGUUAAGUCCCGCAACGAGCGCAACCCUUAUCCUUUGUUGCCAGCGAUUAGGUCGGGAACUCAAAGGAGACUGCCAGUGAUAAACUGGAGGAAGGUGGGGAUGACGUCAAGUCAUCAUGGCCCUUACGACCAGGGCUACACACGUGCUACAAUGGCGCAUACAAAGAGAAGCGACCUCGCGAGAGCAAGCGGACCUCAUAAAGUGCGUCGUAGUCCGGAUUGGAGUCUGCAACUCGACUCCAUGAAGUCGGAAUCGCUAGUAAUCGUGGAUCAGAAUGCCACGGUGAAUACGUUCCCGGGCCUUGUACACACCGCCCGUCACACCAUGGGAGUGGGUUGCAAAAGAAGUAGGUAGCUUAACCUUCGGGAGGGCGCUUACCACUUUGUGAUUCAUGACUGGGGUGAAGUCGUAACAAGGUAACCGUAGGGGAACCUGCGGUUGGAUCACCUCCUUACCUUAAAGAAGC
rnacentral:rRNA from 2 species